rnacentral:rRNA from 1 species
CUCCUACGGGAGGCAGCAGUGGGGAAUAUUGACAAUGGGGGAAACCCUGAUGCAGCGACGCCGCGCCGCGGAAGAAGGUCUUCGGAUUGUAAACUCCUGUUGUUGGGGAAGAUAAUGACGGUACCCAACAAGGAAGUGACGGCUAACUACGUGCCAGCAGCCGCGGUAAAACGUAGGUCACAAGCGUUGUCCGGAAUUACCGGGUGUAAAGGGAGCGCAGGCGGGAAGACAAGUUGGAAGUGAAAUCUAUGGGCUCAACCCAUAAACUGCUUUCAAAACUGUUUUUCUUGAGUAGUGCAGAGGUAGGCGGAAUUCCCGGUGUAGCGGUGGAAUGCGUAGAUAUCGGGAGGAACACCAGUGGCGAAGGCGGCCUACUGGGCACCAACUGACGCUGAGGCUCGAAAGUGUGGGUAGCAAACAGGAUUAGAUACCCUGGUAGUCCACACCGUAAACGAUGAUUACUAGGUGUUGGAGGAUUGACCCCUUCAGUGCCGCAGUUAACACAAUAAGUAAUCCACCUGGGGAGUACGACCGCAAGGUUGAAACUCAAAGGAAUUGACGGGGGCCCGCACAAGCAGUGGAGUAUGUGGUUUAAUUCGACGCAACGCGAAGAACCUUACCAAGUCUUGACAUCCCUUGACAGACAUAGAAAUAUGUAAUCUCUUCGGAGCAAGGAGACAGGUGGUGCAUGGUUGUCGUCAGCUCGUGUCGUGAGAUGUUGGGUUAAAUCCCGCAAAGAGCGCAACCCUUAUGGUCAGUUACUACGCAAGAGGAUUCUGGCCAGACUGCCGUUGACAAAACGGAGGAAGGUGGGGAUGACGUCAAAUCAUCAUGCCCCUUUAUGACCUGGGCUACACACGUACUACAAUGGCGUUUAACAAAGAGAAGCAAGACCGCGAGGUGGAGCAAAAUUUAAAAACAACGUCUCAGUUCAGAUUGCAGGCUGCAACUCGCCUGCAUGAAGUCGGAAUUGCUAGUAAUCGCGGAUCAGCAUGCCGCGGUGAAUACGUUCCCGGGCCUUGUACACACCGC